CGCGUGAGAAUCUGCCUUUUGGACCGGGACAACUGCGGGAAACGGCAGCUAAGACCGGAUGUGCCUUCGGGUGAAAUAUUCAUAGCCAAAAGAGGAGCUCGCGACCGAUUAGCUAGUUGGUGGGGUAAGAGCCUACCAAGGCUGCGAUCGGUAGCCGGUUUGAGAGGACGACCGGCCACACUGGGACUGAGACACGGCCCAGACUCCUACGGGAGGCAGCAGUGGGGAAUUUUCCGCAAUGGGCGAAAGCCUGACGGAGCAAUACCGCGUGAGGGAGGAAGGCUCUUGGGUCGUAAACCUCUUUUCUCAGGGAAGAAGCAAUGACGGUACCUGAGGAAUCAGCAUCGGCUAACUCCGUGCCAGCAGCCGCGGUAAUACGGAGGAUGCAAGCGUUAUCCGGAAUGAUUGGGCGUAAAGCGUCCGCAGGUGGCACAUCAAGUCUGCUGUCAAAGCCCCCAGCUUAACUGGGAAGAGGCGGUGGAAACUGGUGAGCUAGAGAGCAAUAGGGGUAGAGGGAAUUCCCGGUGUAGCGGUGAAAUGCGUAGAGAUCGGGAAGAACACCAGUGGCGAAAGCGCUCUACUAGGUUGCAACUGACACUGAGGGACGAAAGCUAGGGGAGCGAAUGGGAUUAGAUA
rnacentral:rRNA from 1 species